CCCAAAGGUGUCUGGGAGUGAAACAUACCAUGCCUCUAUAGUAUCGCUGUGAGAGUGGCCUGGUCAUGGUGACAAAGCCUGAUAUUGAAGGGGAUUUGGGAAGCAAGGAUUCCAGUGCCAAGUUUGCUGUUUUGUGGUUCAUAAGAGGUGCCAUGAGUUCGUUACCUUCUCCUGUCCUGGGGCUGACAAGGGGCCCGACACUGAUAACAGCAGAGAAGACAAGCAAUAAUCUUUGCUGGCUAUUUGGGUGAUUCAGUGAAGGCUGACUGAGCAUCUGUUAAGCAAUUUGAAGUUGGAGACAGCUACAAAAUUCAUCAUCCUGCACUAAAGAG
rnacentral:lncRNA from 1 species